rnacentral:rRNA from 1 species
AACGCUAGCUACAGGCUUAACACAUGCAAGUCGCGGGGCAUCAUGACGAUAGCUUGCUAUUGUUGAUGGCGACCGGCGCACGGGUGAGUAACGCGUAUCCAACCUGCCCCCAAGUAGGGCACAGCCCGGCGAAAGUCGGAUUAAUUCCCUAUGUGGUCAUGUUAUGGCAUCAGUAUAUGACUAAAGGCUUUGGUUGCUUGGGGUUGGGGAUGCGUAGGAUUAGCUAGACGGCGGGUUGACAGCCCACCGUGGCGACGAUCCUUAGGGGUUCUGAGAGGAAGGUCCCCCACACUGGUACUGAGACACGGACCAGACUCCUACGGGAGGCAGCAGUGAGGAAUAUUGGUCAAUGGGCGCAAGCCUGAACCAGCCAAGUAGCGUGCAGGAUGACGGCCCUAUGGGUUGUAAACUGCUUUUAUGCGGGGAUAAAGUGUGCCACGUGUGGCAUAUUGCAGGUACCGCAUGAAUAAGGACCGGCUAAUUCCGUGCC